GGCCCCAUUACUGACCAACUUUUAAAACCACCUAUAAUGUUCAAAGCUUUGCUUAUGACCUCAAUGUCUCUAGAAAAGCAAGAACUUCAACAGAAGCAGCCUUCAAACAAUCCUGUUCAUGAAAAAGAGUCAAUGAGUGAUAAUCUACUGUAUGUUUCCUGGCUGUGUCGGUUGGAGUCUGUAGCCACUAGAAGCUUUCAGAGCAUGAAAUUCUCCUGCUGUAACUCUUCAACUGGAAAAAACAUUAGCUGGGAACCAACCCAUUUUGUUCUAUAACUCCCUUUCAAUACCACAACCUUAUAUUAAACUAUUAUGAACCUCAUGACUGACAAAUUUUGAGUCUAGAAGGAUCUUUGGCCUUGAUUUAUUAACUGUGAAAUCUUUCUUGGGCAGGAGCUGGGGAGUACUCUUCAGGGUGUGGAGACACUGAAUACAUGGACAUCAUUCUUCAAGGAAACUGGACUUCUGAACAAGAACUUUCUUUAUACCCUAUCUAUAAUUCUUCCGUGAAACUUAGACAAACAUUUUCACAGCCUGGAAAAUAUACCCAUGCCUUCUGCAGGCUUUCUACUUGUGGGGUAAAGCCACUCAGAAAUUAGCUUUACUAAUUUUACAACCUUUCUGGGAGGAAACAGAGAAGGCACUAAAUUAAAAAAAAUAAAAAUUGUAUGUCCCUCAGUUGUUAAGUGCAUAAAGGUAAUUCUCCAUCCAUUUUACCAGAAAAGAGGAAUAUAUUUACAAUUCAUAUGAAAUUCAAGGUAAUAUUUAACUACAAUUAUAUUUCAGAGAUGAUAAUUUAAAACAUCUCCAAAAGUUCUUAUU